GACGAACGCUGGCGGCGCGCUUAACACAUGCAAGUCGAGCGAGAACCAGACCUUCGGUCUGGGAAAGCGGCGAACGGGUGAGUAACACGUGGGUAACCCGACCCUUCGGUACCGGGAGUAGCCCGACGGAAACUCGGAUUAAUACCGGAUGGCCCAACAGCUCUUCGGGGCGGUUGGAAAGGUAAGCUUCGGCCUCCGACCAAGGACGGGCCCGCGGCGGAUUAGCUUGUUGGUGAGGUAAUGGCUCACCAAGGCUUCGACCGUAGCUGGUCUGAGAGGACGAUCAGCCACACUGGGGACUGAGACACGGCCCAGACUCCUACGGGAGGCAGCAGUGGGGAAUCUUGCGCAAUGGGCGAAAGCCUGACGCAGCGACGCCGCGUGGGGAAGAAGGC
rnacentral:rRNA from 1 species